rnacentral:rRNA from 1 species
GCGGAGGAAAAGAAACCAACAGGGAUUGCCCCAGUAACGGCGAGUGAAGCGGCAACAGCUCAAAUUUGAAAUCUGGUCCCCCCGCGGGGCCCGAGUUGUAAUUUGAAGAGGAUGCUUCUGGCAAGGUGCCGUCCGAGUUCCCUGGAACGGGACGCCGCAGAGGGUGAGAGCCCCGUACGGUCGGACGCCGAGCCUCUGUGAAGCUCCUUCGACGAGUCGAGUAGUUUGGGAAUGCUGCUCAAAAUGGGAGGUAAACCCCUUCUAAAGCUAAAUACCGGCCAGAGACCGAUAGCGCACAAGUAGAGUGAUCGAAAGAUGAAAAGCACUUUGAAAAGAGAGUUAAAAAGCACGUGAAAUUGUUGAAAGGGAAGCGCUUGCGACCAGACUCGCGCCCGUCGGAUCAGCCGUCGCUCGUCGGCGGCGCACUCCGGCGGGCUCGGGCCAGCAUCAGUUCGCCUCGGGGGGAGAAAGGCGGCGGGAAUGUGGCUCCACGGAGUGUUAUAGCCCGCCGCGUAAUACCCCCGGGCG